GCUGAAUCCCACCGCCGAAAUCAAGCUCCCUGCCGCCACAUCCCGGCAGAACACUCCCUGAAACUCUGACAGCUUCUCAUGUUUCACAUUGCCAGUAAUUCUCACUGCCGCAGUGGCUACUGCGGCAGCGGCCGUGGCAUCCCUCGUCUUUUGCCUCUCCGCAGCCUCAUCAUCGAUCACGGCCGACAUAAUGCUUGAGUACCCUUUCUGCAGCAUUCUGUACAACAUCAAUGCCGACAUCCUCGCCUGCUCCCUCACCGCAUCAAUGCCCCGGUGGUCUUCGGUGAACUCCAACCUGUCGACAAAAGCUGCCGCCCUCUCCGGCCUGUGCCGGAGAUUUAGCAGCAGGUGUGCCCG
rnacentral:misc_RNA from 1 species